rnacentral:rRNA from 3 species
ACGGGUGAGUAACACGUGGGAAUAUACCCUUUGGUUCGGAAUAACUCAGGGAAACUUGAGCUAAUACCGGAUAAGCGCGAGAGCGGAAAGAUUUAUCGCCGAAGGAUUAGCCCGCGUCUGAUUAGCUAGUUGGUGAGGUAAUGGCUCACCAAGGCGACGAUCAGUAGCUGGUCUGAGAGGAUGAUCAGCCACAUUGGGACUGAGACACGGCCCAAACUCCUACGGGAGGCAGCAGUGGGGAAUAUUGGACAAUGGGCGCAAGCCUGAUCCAGCCAUGCCGCGUGAGUGAUGACGGCCUUAGGGUUGUAAAGCUCUUUUACCUGGGAAGAUAAUGACGGUACCAGGAGAAUAAGCCCCGGCUAACUUCGUGCCAGCAGCCGCGGUAAUACGAAGGGGGCUAGCGUUGUUCGGAAUCACUGGGCGUAAAGCGCACGUAGGCGGAUCUUUAAGUCAGGGGUGAAAUCCCAGAGCUCAACUCUGGAACUGCCCUUGAUACUGGGGAUCUUGAGUCCGGAAGAGGUAAGUGGAACUGCGAGUGUAGAGGUGAAAUUCGUAGA